UGAGGAAAGUGGAUGUGUUAAAUAUAUAUACGAACAAUUUUCUACCCCUUGGGACUGCCAUCUAGCGAUUUACCAUUUUUGUCAUUGAGGAAAACUACACACCCGCAAGAGGCUCUCCCAUCAGGGGGAAAAAAACAUGAUGACUCAAACGCCCGGUCAUUUGGUUGUUAGACUUUAUGGGGUGUGGUAUAUAAUUUUUAAUACGGAUAACUUAUAUUGGCAACAGCAGUUGAAAUUAGCUGUCAAAAAGUGAAAACAAAAAAAAACAAAAAAAAACUGUAGCAACCAAUAGCAAAGGCGGAAAAUAUUUUUCUUCUGCUAGGACUCAGGAACGCGAUUUUCCUUAGAAUUAUCCGCGCAGUCUGGCUUUCUCUCUAGGAAUUCCCAGAGACAGCAAGGAACCCGGAAAACGCCUCUUAUGGCGAUGAUAUCGGUCUUUACUUCGUAGUCUGUGCCAAUACGGUGUGGCUAGCCAAGUCAACACAGUCUUCACCCGUAAAUGGAUUCAGAUCCAAGUAUGUUAUUCCAUGAAAAAGGAUGCCGCGAGUGCUGACCAACGGAUCCGUUUCCCUUCACUGAUGGGCAAGUAACUUCAAUCGCGCCACCUUUUUUCUAUACAUGUGAGUAUAAUAGUUCGAAGACGCUCAGAUUUGAAUCCAUUCGCGGAAGUAUAAAGUCAAGUUUCCUUUUUUCAGAGUUUGAAUGUUGAAUUUCCGUUCACGGAUUGUAUUUCAAUUUUCAGUGUAAAAUUUGUAUUACAAGUAUUACAAUUUUUACAGGAUUUGUUUCCGUUUACGUCCUGUUUACCUUA